AGAACGAACGCUGGCGGCACGCCUAACACAUGCAAGUCGAGCGCCCAGCAAUGGGAGCGGCGGACGGGUGAGUAACACGUGGGAAUAUGCCUUUCGGUACGGAACAACUCAGGGAAACUUGAGCUAAUGCCGUAUACGCCCUUACGGGGAAAGAUUUAUCGCCGAAAGAUUAGCCCGCGUCUGAUUAGCUAGUUGGUGAGGUAAUGGCUCACCAAGGCUUCGAUCAGUAGCUGGUUUGAGAGAACGACCAGCCACACUGGGACUGAGACACGGCCCAGACUCCUACGGGAGGCAGCAGUGGGGAAUAUUGCACAAUGGGCGAAAGCCUGAUGCAGCGACGCCGCGUGAGGGAUGACGGCCUUCGGGUUGUAAACCUCUUUCAGCAGGGACGAAGCGAAAGUGACGGUACCUGCAGAAGAAGCACCGGCCAACUACGUGCCAGCAGCCGC
rnacentral:rRNA from 1 species